rnacentral:misc_RNA from 1 species
AUAAUUUUCCCUCUGGAAGAUGGAGGAGGAGAAGAAGAAGAAGGAGAUGGGCAAUAUUGCAAAAGCUUCAACAGCCGAGAACUCCUCCCGAUCGGUAUCAGCUCUACAAGCCAUUGUCUAUCCACCUGAUCUGUGGACUUGGUUUAGCUAUAGCUUUAUGGGUAGACCACAAUCUCUACUCCAUUAAUCUAGUGUCUGACCCUUCACGCACUCUACGUCUGAUCUGGAUUGUCGAGAGUCCAAUCGUGACACUUCUUUACAGUUGGUUNNNAAUCCUGAGCAAUGCUCGUACUUGAAAGCUGUAGGACGAGGCAUAUUAGCUCUUCCUGUUGGGGCUCUUGUGACUGCACUUGGAGCAAUUGUUUUAGGCGCACCUGUUGGCAUCGAUUACUUACCAAAGACCAUUAAUUGGUCUCUUCUUAUGUCAUCAUGCAUGUUUGUGCCUGCAGCUUCUGUUUUUGGUUCAUCAUGGUCACAUUGGCAACGUAUUUUCGUAUAUUUGCACAUACAAAGCCAAAUGAAUCUUUAGAGUAUAUGAUUUGUAUACCAGCACAUGGGGCU